GUAGGUGGCAAGCGUUGUCCGGAAUUAUUGGGCGUAAAGCGCGCGCGGGCGGUUCUUUAAGUCUGAUGUGAAAGCCCACGGGCUCAACCGUGGAGGGUCAUUGGAAACUGGAGAACUUGAGUACAGAAGAGGAAAGCGGAAUUCCACGUGUAGCGGUGAAAUGCGUAGAGAUGUGGAGGAACACCAGUGGCGAAGGCGGCUUUCUGGUCUGUAACUGACGCUGAGGCGCGAAAGCGUGGGGAGCAAACAGGAUUAGAUACCCAGGUAGUCCGCGCCGUAAACGAUGAGUGCUAAGUGUUAGGGGGUUUCCGCCCCUUAGUGCUGCAGCUAACGCAUUAAGCACUCCGCCUGGGGAGUACGGCCGCAAAGGCUG
rnacentral:rRNA from 1 species